rnacentral:rRNA from 1 species
UACAGAGGUCUCAAGCGUUGUUCGGAUUCAUUGGGCGUAAAGCGCGCGUAGGCGGUUACUUAAGUCGGAUGUGAAAGCCCUCGGCUUAACUGAGGAAGUGCACCCGAAACUGAGUAGCUAGAGUACGAAAGAGGGUCGCGGAAUUCCCGGUGUAGAGGUGAAAUUCGUAGAUAUCGGGAGGAACACCGGUGGCGAAGGCGGCGACCUGGGUCGAGACUGACGCUGAGGCGCGAAAGCGUGGGGAGCAAACAGG